AGAGUUUGAUUAUGGCUCAGGGUUAACGCUGGCGGUGUGUCUAAUACAUGCAAGUCGAGCGCACUUUAUGUGAGCGGCGGACGAGCGAGUAACACGUUGGAACCUGCCCCAAACUCAGGGAUAACAUCUAGAAAUAGGUGCUAAUACCGGAUAGUCCCGCAAGGGUAAAGAUUUUUCGGUUUGGGAGGGGCCUGCGUACUAUCAGCUAGUUGGUAAGGUAAAGGCUUACCAAGGCUAUGACGGUUAACUGGUCUGAGAGGAUGAUCAGUCGCGAUGGGACUGAGACACGGCCCAUACUCCUACGGGAGGCAGCAGUAAGGAAUCUUCCACAAUGGACGAAAGUCUGAUGGAGCAACACCGCGUGAUCGAUGAAGCCUUUAGGGGUGUAAAGAUCUUUUCUGAGAGAAGAACUCUGACGGUAUCUUAGGAAUAAGCACCGGCUAACUCCGUGCCAGCAGCCGCGGUAAUACGGAGGGUGCAAGCGUUACCCGGAAUCAUUGGGCGUAAAGCGUCCGCAGGCGGUUUGUUAAGUAAGAUGUUAAAUUUUCCAGCUCAACUGGAAAUCUAUGUCUUAAACUGGCAAACUAGAGUAUUACAGAGGUGUGCAGAAUUCUGUGUGUAGGGGUAAAAUCCGUAGAUACACAGAGGAAUACCAAAAGCGAAGGCAGCACACUGGGUAAUUACUGACGCUCAGGGACGAAAGCGUGGGGAGCGAACGGGAUUAGAUACCCCGGUAGUCCACGCCGUAAACGAUGGAUACUAGGUGUUGGGAGACUCGACCCUUCCGGUGCCGACGCUAACGCAUUAAGUAUCCCGCCUGGGAAGUACGGUCGCAAGAUUAAAACUCAAAGGAAUAGACGGGGACCCACACAAGCGGUGGAGCAUGUGGUUUAAUUCGAUGAUAAGCGAGGAACCUUACCCAGACUUGACAUCCCGAGAAUUUUCCAGAAAUGGAAAAGUGCCGCAAGGAACUCGGUGACAGGUGCUGCAUGGUUGUCGUCAGCUCGUGCCUUGAGGUGUUCGGUUAAGUCCGUGAACGAGCGCAACCCUUGUCUUGUGUUGUAUGUUUCACAAGAGACUGCCGACUUUAAGUCGGAGGAAGGUAAGGAUGACGUCAAAUCAGCAUGGCCCUUAUGUCUGGGGCUACACACGUGCUACAAUGGCCAGUACAGAGGGCAGCAAACCCGCAAGGGGGAGCCAAUCCUUAAAACUGGUCCAAGUUCGAAUUGAGGGCUGCAAUUCGCCCUCAUGAAGUUGGAAUCGCUAGUAACCGCGUAUCAGCAAUGACGCGGUGAAUCUGUUCCUGGGUCUUGUACUCACCGCCCGUCACGUCAUGAAAGGUGGGGGCACCCGAAGUACCGUUAGCACUUAAGCGCGGUCCUAAGGUGAAACCACUGAUUGGGACGAAGUCGUAACAAGGUAGCC
rnacentral:rRNA from 1 species